ACACACCUCCUGUGGACCCAGGGCGCCUCCUCGUGGAUGCAUGCGGGCGAACAGGAGGAGGGAUCAGAACAGCUCGAGCUCACGGAGAGAAACGGGAGAGCAAGCCGUCUCUUCUCCUAUGGUACGCCCCGAACCUCACGCGCAUCCAGAACACCGUUGUAUUCUUCUCCUUUCUUCCUGUUUUACUCCCCAUGAGAUGAGAGACUGAUCCAGCGAGGGUUUCCACGCGCUGUUACGAAGGUUCUGGAGUUUUUCUAAAGUUUUGGGUAGGAGGACAGGAUGACGAUGAUGUCAGAGUUCAUCGUGCUGUGUUUACUGUUUGGGGCCGCAGCCCAGGCCUUCCAAGAAUGCAACAAGAAACAUGAGUGUCCUAUAGAUGUGUACUUUACGAUCGACACGUCUGAGACCAUCGCCCUGCAAGAACCUCCCCCUGGAUCACUGGUGGAGAGCAUUAAGAUGUUUACAGAGCGUUUUGCAGAUCGUCUGGAGGAUGCUGACUAUAAAGGUCUGGUUCAGAUCAGAUGGCAGAUAGGAGGACUACACUUCUCCCAGACACAACAGGUCUUCAGCCGCAUACAGGCCAAGGAUGCCUUCAUCCAGGUGGGCCGAACUCACACACACACAC